ACUAUCCAAAACCCCUGAAAAGGAUGAGACACUAAUUUUUGGUGGGGGAAGGGCCGGGAAGAGAACAAUAAGAAUCAAGAUUUCACCAAGUGAAGAAGGGGGCAAACCAUCAACAACUAUGCACGAAUCCAUCAUGCAACAGCACCAGAAAGCAUUUAGACACCGAGCCAGUGGCAAUCUAGGCUACAAAUCCAAGGUCAUUUACAAGAAGCAGAAGGCACGAGGAUUGACCAGUACAGAUGUCUAGUUUCUGCCAUUGCUUUGCUUUUCUCUGGUGCUGUCCUUUUUGGUGCUGUUGUCACUGUAAAUUCAAGGCCACCAAUGGCAUUAAAGGAAAGAAAGAGAAAGAGAAAGAGCUUAUCAAC
rnacentral:misc_RNA from 1 species